rnacentral:rRNA from 1 species
AUACGUAGGGUCCAAGCGUUAUCCGGAUUUACUGGGUGUAAAGGGCGAGUAGACGGCAUAGCAAGUCAGAUGUGAAAACUUAGAGCUCAACUUUAAGACUGCAUCUGAAACUGUUAAGCUAGAGUGCAGAAGAGGUAAGUGGAAUUCCUAGUGUAGCGGUGAAAUGCGUAGAUAUUAGGAGGAACACCAGUGGCGAAGGCGACUUACUGGGCUGUAACUGACGUUGAGGAGCGAAAGUGUGGGGAGC